rnacentral:tRNA from 1 species
GGUGGCAAAAUGGUUAAGUGUUCAACUGCUAACUGAAAGGUUGGUGGUUUGAACCCACCAGCCACUA